AAUAUUGCACAAUGGAGGGAACUCUGAUGCAGCAACGCCGCGUGAGUGAAGAAGGUUUUCGGAUCGUAAAACACUGUCAUCGGGGAAGAAGAAAUGUCGGCACCUAAUGAGGACGCCCCGGCUAACUACGUGCAAGCACACGCGGUAAUACGUAGGGGGCGACCGUUGUCAGGAAUUACUGGGCGUAAAGGGUACGUAGGCGGCUAUAUAAGUCAGGUGUGAAAUACCAGUGCUUAACACUGGAAUUGCAUUUGAAACUGUGUAGCUUGAGUGCAGGAGAGGAAAGUGGAAUUCCUAGUGGAGCGGUGAAAUGCGUAGAGAUUAGGAGGAACACCAGUGGCGAAGGCGACUUUCUGGACUGUAACUGACGCUGAGGUACGAAAGCGUGGGUAGCGAACA
rnacentral:rRNA from 1 species